UCAUCUGCUGCACUUUGUGUCACACGACUC
rnacentral:piRNA from 1 species